UACGAAGGGGGCUAGCGUUGCUCGGAAUCACUGGGCGUAAAGGGUGCGUAGGCGGGUCUUUUAAGUCAGAGGUGAAAUCCUGGAGCUCAACUCCAGAACUGCCUUUGAUACUGAGGAUCUUGAGUCCGGGAGAGGUGAGUGGAACUGCGAGUGUAGAGGUGAAAUUCGUAGAUAUUCGCAAGAACACCAGUGGCGAAGGCGGCUCACUGGCCCGGUACUGACGCUGAGGUGCGAAAGCGUGGGGAGCAAACAGG
rnacentral:rRNA from 1 species